CGGACCGGCGCACGGUGAGUAACGCGUAUGCAACUUACCUAUCAGGAGGGGAGAACCGGCGAAAGUCGGACUAAUACCGCAUAAAGCAGGGAUCCCGCAUGGGAAUAUUUGCUAAAGAUUCAUCGCUGAUAGAUAGGCAUGCGUUCCAUUAGGCAGUUGGCGGGGUAACGGCCCACCAAACCGACGAUGGAUAGGGGUUCUGAGAGGAAGGUCCCCCACAUUGGUACUGAGACACGGACCAA
rnacentral:rRNA from 1 species